UAAGGACUUGGGUGCAGUAGUUUAUUUGGAGGGCAAUUCCAGGAAGCAGGGGAGGGAGUCAAGUCACUGCUGUAGGCUGCAGGGGCUUGGUUCCACCCAGCAGCAUAGAGAAGGCUGGAGAAUGCCUCCCAGGACCGUCCUCCAGUCCAGGCUCCAGGAGCUGAAGCAUCUACGUGUGGACUUGAUGAACAUACACAAAGGGUAGCCACACAAAGGACAGGAUGCCCAGGGACCAGAAGGAGGCCAUGGGACCACAGAGGCAGAGAUUGGGGUGAUGUGACUGCAAGCCAAGGAACACAUGGAGCCCCCAGAAGCUGGAUGAGGCAAAGAGCAGAUUCCUCCUUGGAGAGCCUUCGAGGGAGCACCACCCUGCUGACACCUUGAUUUUGGACUACUGGCCUCCUGAGCUGUGAGGGCAUUUGCUUCUAUUGCUAUAAGCCGCCCAGAAGUGCCGGUUCGUUACAGCAGUUCUUGGGAAAAAAUAUACAUCGCUCCCCCUC